GAUGAAGAACGCAGCGAAAUGCGAUACGUAAUGCGUAUUGCAGAUCCAGUGAAUCAUCGAGUCUUUGAACGCAUAUUGCGCCCCCCGGCACUCCGGGGGGCUUGUCCGACCGAGCGCCGCAUCGCCGCCCAGGCCUCGCUAGGCGAGGCCCGGUGUUGGGGCAUGCGAGACGCAGCAGCCCUCAAAUCCAGCCGCGGCCGCCGCAGCGCGGGCCCCCAGGCGCAGUACGUCCACCUAACGAACGGUGCUGCCGCCUCGAGGGGUUCCUGCGACGGCCCGCAACCCUUUUCCCCCGGCUCGUCCUCGAGCAGGCAAAGGAAAACACACCCGGUUGGCCUCGGGUCGGACAAGGCUACCCGCUGAACUUAAGCAUAUCAAUAAGCGGAGGA
rnacentral:misc_RNA from 1 species